rnacentral:rRNA from 1 species
GACGAACGCUGGCGGCGUGCUUAACACAUGCAAGUCGAACGGAAAGGCCCUGCUUUUGUGGGGUGCUCGAGUGGCGAACGGGUGAGUAACACGUGAGUAACCUGCCCUUGACUUUGGGAUAACUUCAGGAAACUGGGGCUAAUACCGGAUAGGAGCUCCUGCUGCAUGGUGGGGGUUGGAAAGUUUCGGCGGUUGGGGAUGGACUCGCGGCUUAUCAGCUUGUUGGUGGGGUAGUGGCUUACCAAGGCUUUGACGGGUAGCCGGCCUGAGAGGGUGACCGGCGACAUUGGGACUGAGGUACGGACCAGACUCCUACGGGAGGCAGUAGUGGGGAAUAUUGCACAAUGGGCGGAAGCCUGAUGCAGCAACGCCGCGGGCGGGAUGACGGCCUUCGGGGUGUAAACCGCUUUCGCCUGUGACGAAGCGUGAGUGACGGUAAUGGGUAAAGAAGCACCGGCUAACUACGUG